AGAGUUUGAUCCUGGCUCAGGAUGAACGCUGGCGGCGUGCCUAACACAUGCAAGUCGAGCGGACCUGAUUGAGUGAUUAGCUUGCUAUGAACUCAUGACUGGUUAGCGGCGGACGGGUGAGUAACGCGUGGGUAACCUGCCUCAUACAGGGGGAUAGCAGUUGGAAACGACUGGUAAUACCGCAUAAGCGCACAGUACCGCAUGGUACAGUGUGAAAAACUCCGGUGGUAUGAGAUGGACCCGCGUCCGAUUAGCCAGUUGGCGGGGUAACGGCCCACCAAAGCGACGAUCGGUAGCCGGCCUGAGAGGGCGGACGGCCACAUUGGGACUGAGACACGGCCCAGACUCCUACGGGAGGCAGCAGUGGGGGAUAUUGCACAAUGGAGGAAACUCUGAUGCAGCGACGCCGCGUGGGUGAAGAAGUAUUUCGGUAUGUAAAGCCCUAUCAGCAGGGACGAUAAUGACGGUACCUGACUAAGAAGCCCCGGCUAACUACGUGCCAGCAGCCGCGGU
rnacentral:rRNA from 1 species